CAUUCGAUUACAUCUCACAUGAUAUACCACUUCCUGGUUACCCCUCCACCAAUCCCUCAAGCCAUAUCUUCCCUCUCCUCCUCUCCUUCACCUGGAUGAGGGUGCUGCUUCAACCCACUCACCCUUUCCUUCCCUACUGCCCUCUACACUAGGGCAUCAAAACUCUCCACAACCAAGGGCCUCACCUCCCACUGCUUUCAGCAAGGCCAUCCUCUGUUACAAUGUACCUGGAGCUAUAGAUCCCUCCUUAUACACUCCUGGGUUUGUAGUCUAGUCUCCGGGAACACUGGGUGGUCCUGUCAGCAGUUGUUGUUCUUCCAAUAGAGUUGCAACCCCCCUCUGCACUUCCAGUUUUUCCCCAAGCUCCCUGAAGAAGUUCCAUGAGCUCAGGCUAAUGGUUGGUUCCAACUGUCAGUUGCUGGCCAGACCUCCCAAAGAACUGCCACUCCAGGUUCCUGUCUGCAAGCACCUCUUGACCACAGGAGCAGUGUCUGGUUUGGCUACUGCAGACAGGAUGGAUCCCCAGUGUGGGAUCCUAUCUGAUAAAGUCAUUUCUCGCACAGUGAGAGGAGCAUUGGAUCAUCAGAGAUUCAUGUUCUGUAGUACCAGGAAGCAUUUGUGAACACCGAAAGACCAAUCAGGUGCCGAUCCGAUCCGAUACAAUCACACAAGAGUCUUUAUUCACAAGUUCAAACUCGGGCUUAAGUCAUGCUGACCCACAAGAUGGUUUCGGUGGAUAAAAGCCCCAAACACUCCUCAGGACAAGAUUUUAUAGGAAAUAUCAAGAGAAGGCAGCCAGAAUAUAGCACUUCAGAAACAAAGUACCAGAGAAACAAAUGGACAGCAAACAUCAAUUCUGAAAUACAUUGUCUCUGAUCUAUGCAGCUUGGAUAGUGAAUUUCUUUCCAUAAAUAGUUAAUAAGAUAUCAGCUCUAAUGACAAGAAUAAACUGUUAAACCAAUUCAUUUAGGAGCUCAGUAUUGGCUGUUCCCUGAGAGGUUGUACAAGUACCUGACCAAUUCAGAUGCAGAUAGAGCCAACCAUCAGAAGGAGCCCAGGGACCCCUAAGGAAGAGCUGGAUUCUGUGGCAGAAGAAGCUCAGCAGCUCAGCAGGCAGUCUGCUUCUGCAGGUUGUGACAAAACAUUCUUACCAAAGAAAGCAAUAUACAUGAGAGGAAAAGUUUCUUUAGCUGAUAAUUCUAGAUUAUAGUACAUGUCAGUAAGAAAGGCAAAAUAGCAAGGAAGUUAAAGUAUUGCUCCACAACCUUAGAGCAGAGAAAAUAAAUGGAUGCAUUCUUCAAGUAUUUAACUGACUUCCCUUUUCAAUCAAUCCCAGUUUAUUCAGUCCAAGAGUGCUCCCUAUAUUCAAGCUUCACCAGUUCCUGUCACUUCCCAAUAGCAUGAUGCUGAAGACUGGAUUUUACUAUGUAAACGUUUUCAAGACACUGAAGAUUUGAAGUAUUUUUUAAUAUAGCCAACUUUUCUCAUAACAAGUCCUUUAUUUGAAUCAGGCAAAUAUGCAAACAGAAUGCUGUUGUAAGACUCCAGGGAGCCUUAGCUUUCUGGAGAUCCUGUGAAUAAAACACAUGAAGCUGGGAUUGAUGCAAAAAGCAAGAGGAAUUUAUUGUUUCUGUGCACCAGGUUCGUCCCAGACCCAAAGGAGAGGCAGUGGCCCCCAGCACCCAACUGCCCCCAGACUAGAGAUGAACCUACUACAUUGUGAAUGCUGGCAAAUACUCUACAACUGUAUUACAUCCCAGGGCUGGAACCCAACUCAUCUUCUGCAACAAUUACAGGGCAGGCUGGAUGAAGACACUCAACCUACAAUGCGGCCAUCUCAUGACUGGUUCAUGAGAAUGGCUUACAAAAUGCUUUCAAGACUGGGAAUGUUUAGCUGUCUGGGAGAGAAAAUAAGGAGACUCAGUCUACACUGUACAUUAAGGGCUGUUUAUUCUGUUAAAGGCUGACAUAGAUUAUUGACUCAUGUCACAUGUGAAAGUAAAUAAAAAUCCAGGUUAAUGUAUGCAUCUGGUAGGAUUUACCAAACACACCACCAUACAUGAGUGGACUUAGAAAGACCCAGGCCCCUCAGGGUUCUAAGGUAUUCAAGGAGUCUCCACAAAUACAAUAGUAACAUGCUAGUGUAGUCUAAAUUUUCUCUCACUGGUCUCACCUCAGUUCUAGUGUACUGCUGAGUGGGGCAUUGGGCUAUGCACAGACAGGCUGGUCUCCAGUUGAGCU